rnacentral:rRNA from 1 species
GUAGGUGGCAAGCGUUGUCCGGAAUUAUUGGGGCGUAAAGCGCGCGCAGGCGGUUCGUUUAAGUCUGAUGUGAAAGCCCACGGCUCAACCGUGAGGGUCAUUGGAAACUGGAGAACUUGAGUACAGAAGAGGAAAGCGGAAUUCCACGUGUAGCGGUGAAAUGCGUAGAGAUGUGGAGGAACACCAGUGGCGAAGGCGGCUUUCUGGUCUGUAACUGACGCUGAGGCGCGAAAGCGUGGGGAGCAAACAGGAUUAGAUACCCUGGCAGUCCACGCCGUAAACGAUGAGUGCUAAGUGUUAGGGGGUUUCCGCCCCUUAGUGCUGCAGCUAACGCAUUAAGCACUCCGCCUGGGGAGUACGGCCGCAAGGCUG